rnacentral:rRNA from 1 species
AGUGAACGCUGGCGGCAGGCCUAACACAUGCAAGUCGAACGGCAGCACAGUAAGAGCUUCCUCUUACGGGAGGCGAGUGGCAGACGGGCGAGGAGUACAGCAGAAUGUACUUUUUCGGGGGGGAACAAGUGGAGAAACUUACGAAAAUAACAUAUACGCCCUACGGGAGAAAGCAGGGGAUCUUCGGACCUUGCACGAUUGUAUGAGCAGGUGUCGGAUUAGCGAGUUGGCGGGGAGACGGCGCAGCAAGGCGACGAUCUGUAGCUGGUCUGAGACGAUGAUCAGCCACACUGGAACUGAGACACGGUCCCGACUCCUACGGGAGGCAGCAGUGGGGAAUCUUGGACAAUGGGCGGAAGCCUGAUGCAGCCAUUCCGCGUGGGUGAAGAAGGCCUUCGGGUUGUAAAGGCCUUUGGGUGGGGAGGAAAAGCGUCAUGUUAAUACCCCUGCGUGCUGACGGUACCCAAAGAAUAAGCACCGGCUAACUCCGUG